rnacentral:rRNA from 1 species
UACGUAGGGUGCAGGCGUUAAUCGGAAUUACUGGGCGUAAAGCGUGCGCAGGCGGUUUCUUAAGUCCAAUGUGAAAGCCCCGGGCUUAACCUGGGAACUGCGUUUGAAACUGGGAGACUUGAGUGUGGCAGAGGGGAGUGGAAUUCCACGUGUAGCAGUGAAAUGCGUAGAUAUGUGGAGGAACACCGAUGGCGAAGGCAGCCCCCUGGGUUAACACUGACGCUCAUGCACGAAAGCGUGGGGAGCAAACAGG